GGGAGUGAAAUAGAACCUGAAACCCUGCACUUACAAGCUGUGGAAGCACAUUUCUUGUGUGACCGCGUACUUUUUGUAGAACGGGCCAACGAGUUACGUUAAGUAGCAAGGUUAAGCACUUAAGGUGUGGAGCCGUAGCGAAAGCGAGUUUUAACUGAGCGUUCAGUUACUGGACGUAGACCCGAAACCGGGCGACCUACCCAUGAGCAGGAUGAAGCGAAAGUAAAAUGUCGUGGAGGUCCGAACCCACGAGCGUUGAAAAGCUCGGGGAUGACUUGUGGGUAGCGGUGAAAUUCCAAUCGAGCCCGGAGAUAGCUGGUUCUCCCCGAAAUAGCUUUAGGGCUAGCCUCAAGGUGAGAGAUACGGAGGUAGAGCACUGAAUGUCCUAGGGGGUAUUGCACCUACCGAAG
rnacentral:rRNA from 1 species